GUUAUACCCAUGCAACCCUGAUCAUGCCCAAUCUCAUCUGACCUCAGCAGCUAAACAGGGUCAGGCCUGGUUAGUACUCGGAUGUGAGGCAGGAAUGGAACAGAACCUGGCUGCUCAGAACC
rnacentral:rRNA from 1 species